GCGCCCGAUCUCGUCUGAUCUCGGAAGUU
rnacentral:rRNA from 1 species